GAGUGGCGAACGGGCGAGGAAUGCGUUUCUAACGUGCCCCAAGGUCGAGGAUAGCUCGGGGAAACCCGGGGUAAUACUCGAUGACCCCCAUGGAUCGCAUGGUUCGUGGGGCAAAGGCUUGCUGCCUUGGGAUCGGGAAACGCCCUAUCAGGUUGUUGGUGAGGUAACGGCUCACCAAGCCUAAGACGGGUAGCGGGUGUGAGAGCAUGACCCGCCGCAUCGGGACUGAGACACUGCCCGGACUCCUACGGGAGGCUGCAGCAACGGAUAUUGGGCAAUGAGCGAAAGCUUGACCCAGCAAUGCCGCGUGCAGGAGGAAGCCCCUCGGGGUGUAAACUGCUGUCAGGGUUUAGGAAGUUCUGACCAGACCCAAAGGAAGGGCCGGCUAACUUCGUGCCAGCAGCCGCGGUAAUACGAAGGGCCCAAGCGUUAAUCGGAAUCACUGGGCUUAAAGGGUGCGCAGGCGGAAUGGUCAGUGUCUUGUGAAAUCCCACGGCUCAACCGUGGAACUGCAGGGCAUACUGCCAUUCUUGAGGCCGGUAGAGGCCGCCGGAACUCUAGGUGUAGCGGUGAAAUGCGUAGAUAUCUAGAGGAACGCCAAAGACGAAGGUAGGCGGCUGGGCCGGGUUCUGACGCUCGGGCACGAAAGCGUGGGGAGCAAACAGGAUUAGAUACCCUGGUAGUCCACGCCGUAAACGUUGUGCACUAGGUGCUGGAGGUUCUGACACCAUCAGCGCCGAAGCGAAAGUGAUUAGUGCACCGCCUGGGGAGUACGGUCGCAAGGCUAAAACUCAAAGGAAUUGACGGGGGCUCACACAAGCGGUGGAGCAUGUGGCUUAAUUCGAGGCAACGCGAAGAACCUUAUCCUGGGCUUGACAUGCAUGGAUUAACGCUGGGAAACCAGCGCCACACUCUUUGAGUGGAACAUGCACAGGUGCUGCAUGGCUGUCGUCAGCUCGUGCUGUGAAGUGUUGGGUUAAGUCCCUUAACGAGCGAAACCCCUGUCGCUAGUUACCAUCAGGUAAUGCUGGGGACUCUAGCGAGACUGCCGGUGUCAAACCGGAGGAAGGCGGGGAUGACGUCAAGUCCUCAUGGCCUUUAUGCCCAGGGCUGCACACGUGCUACAAUGGCGCCGACAGAGCGAAGCAAAACCGCGAGGUAGAGCAAAUCGCAAAAAAGGUGCCCCAGUUCGGAUUGCAGUCUGCAACUCGACUGCAUGAAGCCGGAAUCGCUAGUAAUCGCGUAUCAGCAACGACGCGGUGAAUACGUUCCUGAGCCUCGUACACACCGCCCGUCAAGUCAUGGAAGCCGGGAGUACCCGAAG
rnacentral:rRNA from 1 species